rnacentral:lncRNA from 1 species
UGCCCAGUCAACAGAAUGGAGAAAAGAGAAAUUUGGUUUGAAAUGAAAUUUGAGUCUUGAGAGAGGGCUGAUAUGAAGGAGAAUCAAACAAGCCACAUGGGAGCAUCUGAAGGCCUGGAGAUAAGGGCCUGUUGCAUGGCUGUGAAAAUUUGGCCUUUAAAAUAACUAGGCAUGGGCCAGAAAUCACAGCCGGCGGCUGCGACCACCCAGGGCAGGAGAUCCAGCGGGGGACUAUGGAGCUCAGUGGAGCUGCGGCCUGGGAGAAGCCCACCCAAGAGAACCAUGUAACUAGAAACCAUCACAUUCGGCUUCGUGUGAGGGAGAAGCAGGUGUUUCAUUGCACGCAGUUACUGAGAUCUGGGGUUGUUUGUUAUUGCAGCAAGGACCCACCCUAACACACGAGGUGUUAUAUGCAUUUUACAGAUUGCCAAGAUGGUACAGACAGCAGAAGUGGCAAAACAACACUUAAACUCAAACCUGCCCAACUUCAAAGUCCACGCCCUUCCCUGGGCUUCAGACUGCCGUCUUUGAUGCUAUCUUUCAUUGAGAUGUUGUUUGCAUUAAAUGGGGGAUCUUGCGG